GCUAUGGCAAUAUAUGAAGUCCACCAAGAUGAUGAACUAGUAAACUAACAGGGCACGAAAAGGGGACAUCGCUGACUAACUCACACAACGGAUAGUAUAACGGAAUAAUCGGGGCGUGUUUCGGAAUGCAGACAAAUGAGAUAAUAAGGGAAUUCACCAUAAUGCAAUGGUGAGUGUAGCCAAAGAAGCAUCUUAUCACAGGUAUGUAUGAAAGGAGAGAGAAAUUCUUU
rnacentral:lncRNA from 1 species